AGAAGCAAGUUCCCGUUCGUCACACUGGCGCCAAACGUCGAAGAUGUUGAAACCAUGGCGGAAACAUCUUCCAAGUCUAAACUUAAACGAAACAAGCUGUCUGUCAAGGGGGUCCAGUCGGGAACGGGUCCGCGGGGGACACCGCAGAGGAGUCCCGCAGCACGGCUCGCCAGCGAGAGCACAGCAGACCCCGGGAGGUCUGCGUGGUGACCAGCGAGCAGCUGCCGGCUGUGGGAGGGUCUGUGGGCGUUGUGUGCUCUGCCGUGUCUGGAGAACCAGCACCGGGACCUGGUUCUGAUCUUCCACAAACAUCUACAGCGAGACCGACAGCUCUGAAGUCCGGUGAACAGCGGUGCUGUGACCUCAGCAAAGAUGUCGCUCCCUUCCCCAGACCCUCUCCCCCCUCUCCGAGGACUUGGUCCAGUCCCAGCCCCUCCCCCGGGAAGCUCUCGUACAGACGGAACCCGUCCCGGACCCGGGGGACAGACAGCUGUCCUCUCGCAGCGGCCAAGGACCGCGGCCGUCCCCCCACGGCUGGGAGGGGCCGGCAUCGUCAGCCCGACCCUCAAGGGCGGGUGGGACGGGGGUAGGGAGGACGAGAGACCGACCCGGUCGCCACAGACCAGACAGAAGUGUCUGACGGCCAGGGGGAGGGUGGAGAGGAAGAGGAGGGGCCGAGGAAGGGGGAGGGUGGAGAGG